rnacentral:misc_RNA from 1 species
AGAGCUGGUAACGCCGGUGACAGUGAGAUAUUGGCUGCAAUGGAUGCUGCAGUUGAGGAUGGUGUUGAUGUACUUUCUCUUUCUCUUGGAAUUGGUUCUCAUCCUUUUUAUGAUGAUGUGAUUGCACUAGGUGCAUAUGCAGCUAUUCAAAAGGGGAUCUUUGUGAGUUGCUCAGCAGGAAAUUCUGGACCAGAUAAUAGCUCUUUAUCAAAUGAGGCGCCAUGGAUUUUAACUGUAGGGGCAAGCACUAUAGACAGAGCAAUAAGAGCAACAGUAUUACUUGGAAAUAACACAGAGCUGAACGGCGAAUCCCUUUACCAACCUGAAGAUUUCCCUUCAACGCUGCUGCCACUUGUUUAUGCAGGUGCA